AGGGCCGCGGUAUUUUGACCGUGCGAAGGUAGCAUAAUCAGUAGUCUUUUAAUUGAAGGCUGGAAUGAAUGGUCGGAUGAGGCAAAAACUGUCUUUAUUUUAUAAUAUAAUUUAACUUUUAAGUGAAAAGGCUUAAAUUUUAUGGGGGGACGAUAAGACCCUAUAAAACUUUAUAUAAGUUGACUUAGUUUAAAAAUUUAGUUUAAUUUAGACUAGUGUAGUUUAUAUUUUGUUGGGGAGAUAAAAAUAUAAUAUUAACUGUUUUAAGAAAAAAAUACUUAUAUGUAGAACAUGAUCCUUUAUUAGAGAUUAAAAGAAUAAGUUACUUUAGGGAUAACAGCGUAAUUUUCUUUGAGAGUUCUUAUCGACAGGAAUAGUUGCGACCUCGAUGUUGAAUUAAAAUUUCAGGUAGGUGUAGCAGUUUACCUAGUGGGUCUGUUCGACCUUUAAAAUUUU
rnacentral:rRNA from 1 species